UUCCACUUAUAAAAGGUAACAGCGGGGAGUGUGGGUGCUCUGGGGAAAAGUGAUCGCAUCACCGCUGCUCAGGGCGCACAUCGCUUUGUGCUGGGAAAGUCUGACCCGCGAUAGUUUCUGCGUCACAGCGCGUGGCAGAAACGCACGUCGCUUGGGAAAGUCCAAGAACCGCUCUCGCUCAGGCCAGAACCUUACAGCAGGUCUUCAAACAUCAUGAGGGGAGAGAGAGGACGCCGUGGGGGACCAACUGGAGGGCAAGUGGGAUUGGGGGAGUAGUAAGCAGGGGUGUCAGGGUACCAGCUGGGAUCCCCGGAUAAAUGUGUAUUUUGCAGUACAGGGAGGUGGCCGCCCUGCCCUCUCGCUCUCCUUCUCUAGGGAAACGUGCCACUCAGGCUCCCUUUUCCGACUCUCUGGAACCCCAUGGGUGGUAGAAACCCCAGAACUGAAAUCUCGUCUGAGCAGCCUGUCUAAGCUCUCCCCCAGUAUUGCUGCUUCCUGGGGCCACCCCGCCAGCAGGGUGCAGAAUCGGACUGCGCCGCACCCCCACUGCUAGUUUCCUCCCUAAUUCAAAGCGUCCGGGGCAGGCUCCGCCCUCUUCCCCGCCCCCGGAGCCCUCGGCCCACCCUUCCGUUCCUAGGACGGGACCUGUUCCCUGUCAAUCCAGUUCGGCCUCAGGGUUCCUGGCGCGUGAAAAAAAAAGGCCCUGAGAGAUCGCGGGGACUCUAGAUUACGCACCGCCCUCCACGACACACAGAAGGAACUCCCCGUACCCGAGGCUGGGGAUCCUCAGCCCACACGCCCGACUCAAGACGCGCCAAUAAGGACUCGGGUCCUCCCUGCGCUCAGCUGCUCCGCUCCUGGGCGGUGGAGCUUGCUGCAAGGAAGGGCAACGCUCCCCGACUUUGGAAACCGACUUCCCAACCGCCUACCGGCUGAGGGGAACGCGCAGCUGAGCCGAGUUCGGACCCUAGAAAGCUCCGAAGCAUCCAGAACCCCCCGGGAGCGGAUGCGUGCGCUCCUCUCGAGUUCUCUGGACAGAUAUUUGCUGAACACCCACUAUGUGCCAGAAACAGUGCUAGGCGCUGAGGAUAUACCGUUCGGAGCCAGAGAAUGAAAAGUCAAAAUACGUAAGAUUACAGAUCGUGACAAAUACUCUGAAUAAAAUAAAACAUUCUGCUA